GACGAACGCUGGCGGCGUGCUUAACACAUGCAAGUCGAACGGAAAGGCCCUGCUUUUGUGGGGUGCUCGAGUGGCGCACGGGUGUGAAACACGUGAGUAACCUGCCCUUGUCUUUGGGAUAACUUCAGGAAACUGCGGCUCAUACCGGAUAGGAGCUCCUGCCGCAUGGUGGGGGUUAGAGAGUUUCGGCGGUUGGGGAUGGACUCGCGGCUUAUCAGCUUGUUGGUGGGGUAGUGGCUUACCAAGGCUUUGACGGGUAGCCGGCCUGAGAGGGUGACCGGCCACAUUGGGACUGAGAUACGGCCCAGACUCCUACGGGAGGCAGCAGUGGGGAAUAUUGCACAAUGGGCGCAAGCCUGAUGCAGCAACGCCGCGUGCGGGAUGACGGCCUUCGGGUUGUAAACCGCUUUCGCCUGUGACGAAGCGUGAGUGACGGUAAUGGGUAAAGAAGCACCGGCUAACUACGUG
rnacentral:rRNA from 1 species